CGAAACGAGAACAGAUCGCCGGAACUGUCCGAAUGGAAAAUGUCCCAACUUUAAAAUCAAUCGUCUUGAUGGUGGUGUUAGUAGUGACUGUCUGACGUCAGCUUAUGGUCCAUACACGAAGGAACCAGAGGCGGCUGAACCCAAACCAGAUGCUUUACCAUGUCAGACUAAAUCAUCACAGGGCUUGGGCGCUGGACCACAAAGAACAACGUCGUACGUACCACCAGCUCUGGAACCACCUAAAUGUCCGAG